UGGUUUAAUUCGAUGAUACGCGAGGAACCUUACCCGGGCUUGAACUGCACAGGAAGGAUACAGAGAUGUUGACGCCCUUCGGGGCCUGUGUGGAGGUGCUGCAUGGUUGUCGUCAGCUCGUGCCGUGAGGUGUCGGCUUAAGUGCCAUAACGAGCGCAACCCUUUCCGUUAGUUGCCAUCAGGUCAUGCUGGGCACUCUGGCGGUACUGCCACCGUAAGGUGUGAGGAAGGUGGGGAUGACGUCAAAUCAGCACGGCCCUUACGUCCGGGGCUACACACGUGUUACAAUGGGUGGUACAGAGAGUCGAGUGCCGGCAACGUCACUCCAAUCCUUAAAGCCAUCCUCAGUUCGGAUUGGGGUCUGCAACCCGACCCCAUGAAGCUGGAUUCGCUAGUAAUCGCGCAUCAGCCAUGGCGCGGUGAAUACGUUCCCGGGCCUUGUACACACCGCCCGUCAAGCCAUGAAAGCCGGGGGCGCCUGAAGUCCGUGACCGCGAGGGUCGGCCUAGGGUGAAACCGGUGAUUGGGGCU
rnacentral:rRNA from 1 species